UAGGUCUAGCGAGCCCAACCUCCCACCCGUGUUUACUGUACCUUAGUUGCUUCGGCGGGCCCGCCAUUCAUGGCCGCCGGGGGCUCUCAGCCCCGGGCCCGCGCCCGCCGGAGACACCACGAACUCUGUCUGAUCUAGUGAAGUCUGAGUUGAUUGUAUCGCAAUCAGUUAAAACUUUCAACAAUGGAUCUCUUGGUUCCGGCAUCGAUGAAGAACGCAGCGAAAUGCGAUAACUAGUGUGAAUUGCAGAAUUCCGUGAAUCAUCGAGUCUUUGAACGCACAUUGCGCCCCCUGGUAUUCCGGGGGGCAUGCCUGUCCGAGCGUCAUUGCUGCCCAUCAAGCACGGCUUGUGUGUUGGGUCGUCGUCCCCUCUCCGGGGGGGACGGGCCCCAAAGGCAGCGGCGGCACCGCGUCCGAUCCUCGAGCGUAUGGGGCUUUGUCACCCGCUCUGUAGGCCCGGCCGGCGCUUGCCGAACGCAAAUCAAUCUUUUUCCAGGUUGACCUCGGAUCAGGUAGGGAUACCCGCUGAACUUAAGCAUAUCAAUAAGCGGGGA
rnacentral:rRNA from 1 species